CCCUUAGAUGUCCGGGGCCGCACGCGCGCUACACUGAAGGAAUCAGCGUGGCUUUCUCCCUGACCCGAAAGGGUUGGGAAACCCGUUGAAUCUCCUUCGUGAUAGGGAUUGGGGCUUGAAAUUGUUCCCCAUGAACGAGGAAUUCCCAGUAAGCGCGAGUCAUAGGCUCGCGUUGAUUACGUCCCUGCCCUUUGUACACGCCGCCCGUCGCUACUACCGAUUGAACGGUUUAGUGAGGGCCUCGGAUUGGUCUCGGCCCGCUCUUUACCGGGCGGCGCCGUUGGUCGAGAAGACGCUCGAACUUGAUCGUUUAGAGGAAGUAAAAGUCGUAACA
rnacentral:rRNA from 1 species